rnacentral:rRNA from 1 species
UACGUAGGGUGCAGGCGUUAAUCGGAAUUACUGGGCGUAAAGCGUGCGCAGGCGGUUUCUUAAGUCAGAUGUGAAAGCCCCGGGCUUAACCUGGGAACUGCGUUUGAAACUGGGAGACUUGAGUGUGGCAGAGGGGGGUGGAAUUCCACGUGUAGCAGUGAAAUGCGUAGAUAUGUGGAGGAACACCGAUGGCGAAGGCAGCCCCCUGGGGUAACACUGACGCUCAUGCACGAAAGCGUGGGGAGCAAACAGG